rnacentral:rRNA from 2 species
GGGGAGGUUUGGCACCUCGAUGUCGGCUCAUCGCAUCCUGGGGCUGUAGUCGGUCCCAAGGGUUGGGCUGUUCGCCCAUUAAAGCGGUACGCGAGCUGGGUUCAGAACGUCGUGAGACAGUUCGGUCCCUAUCCGUCGCGGGCGUAGGAAAUUUGAGAGGACCUGUCCUUAGUACGAGAGGACCGGGAUGGACAUACCUCUGGUGUACCAGUUGUGCCGCCAGGCGCAUCGCUGGGUAGCUACGUAUGGAUGUGAUAAACGCUGAAAGCAUCUAAGUGUGAAACACACCUCGAGAUGAGAUUUCCCAUUCCUUUAUGGAAGUAAGACCCCUGAAAGAUGAUCAGGUAGAUAGGUUAGAAGUGGCAGUGCGGUGACGCAUGAAGCGGACUAAUACUAAUCGGUCGAGGACUUAACCAAG